GGUCAAGUCCUGCGCAACCGUAAGUAGCUUAACCCCGCCAGAUCCGGAAGGAAGCAACGGUCGGUUACCAAAAGUGUGACGCAGGGAAGCUUGACCUCA
rnacentral:SRP_RNA from 1 species